UCACCUCUCAAGCCUGGCUUGGUGUUGGACGUCCGGUGGUGUUAGGUCACCACCCGUCCCAAAGACAAUGACGGCGUCCAGAGGACCCUCGGUACAUCGAGCUUUAACCAGCACGUACUCGAGUUUAAGGGACUCUGGGCCCGGUCACCUUUAUUUACUUUUACAA
rnacentral:misc_RNA from 1 species